AGGGGCAGCGAGGGAGUGGCAACACUUCUGUCGGCGACCGGCGGAAGGGUGCGUAACGCGUGAGCGACAUGCCCGUUGCCCGUGGACAACCGGUGGAAACGCCGACUAAUCCCCGAUGGGAUAUUGUGCCGCAUGGCACGAUAUUGAAAGUUACGGCGGCGACGGAUUGGCUCGCGUCCGAUUAGCUGGUUGGCGGGGUAACAGCCCACCAAGGCUGCGAUCGGUAGGGGUUCUGAGAGGAAGGUCCCCACAAUGGAACUGAGACACGGUCCAUACUCC
rnacentral:rRNA from 1 species